AAAAAAUCGAUGAAAGAACGAGUAGAUUUCAAACUAACUGUAGAAGAGAAAGUUGCCAUGGCUGAAAGCAACUUCAUUAGAGAGAUCGAAAGACAUUCUGGAGAUGAACGGAGGAAAAGCCGUUCCGUUACGAGCGUUAAUCGUUGGAGGAAAGAGCAAUCUUUCGAACUUAGGUGGUACCGCGUGUGUCUAUUCACUCGCCCUUGUA
rfam:Enterococcus rotai strain LMG 26678 genome.